rnacentral:rRNA from 1 species
AUUGAACGCUGGCGGCAGGCCUAACACAUGCAAGUCGAACGGUAACAGGAAACAGCUUGCUGUUUCGCUGACGAGUGGCGGACGGGUGAGUAAUGUCUGGGAAACUGCCUGAUGGAGGGGGAUAACUACUGGAAACGGUAGCUAAUACCGCAUAACGUCGCAAGACCAAAGAGGGGGACCUUCGGGCCUCUUGCCAUCAGAUGUGCCCAGAUGGGAUUAGCUAGUAGGUGGGGUAACGGCUCACCUAGGCGACGAUCCCUAGCUGGUCUGAGAGGAUGACCAGCCACACUGGAACUGAGACACGGUCCAGACUCCUACGGGAGGCAGCAGUGGGGAAUAUUGCACAAUGGGCGCAAGCCUGAUGCAGCCAUGCCGCGUGUAUGAAGAAGGCCUUCGGGUUGUAAAGUACUUUCAGCGGGGAGGAAGGGAGUAAAGUUAAUACCUUUGCUCAUUGACGUUACCCGCAGAAGAAGCACCGGCUAACUCCGUGCCAGCAGCCGCGGUAAUACGGAGGGUGCAAGCGUUAAUCGGAAUUACUGGGCGUAAAGCGCACGCAGGCGGUUUGUUAAGUCAGAUGUGAAAUCCCCGGGCUCAACCUGGGAACUGCAUCUGAUACUGGCAAGCUUGAGUCUCGUAGAGGGGGGUAGAAUUCCAGGUGUAGCGGUGAAAUGCGUAGAGAUCUGGAGGAAUACCGGUGGCGAAGGCGGCCCCCUGGACGAAGACUGACGCUCAGGUGCGAAAGCGUGGGGAGCAAACAGGAUUGGAUACCCUGGUAGUCCACGCCGUAAACGAUGUCGACUUGGAGGUUGUGCCCUUGAGGCGUGGCUUCCGGAGCUAACGCGUUAAGUCGACCGCCUGGGGAGUACGGCCGCAAGGUUAAAACUCAAAUGAAUUGACGGGGGCCCGCACAAGCGGUGGAGCAUGUGGUUUAAUUCGAUGCAACGCGAAGAACCUUACCUGGUCUUGACAUCCACGGAAGUUUUCAGAGAUGAGAAUGUGCCUUCGGGAACCGUGAGACAGGUGCUGCAUGGCUGUCGUCAGCUCGUGUUGUGAAAUGUUGGGUUAAGUCCCGCAACGAGCGCAACCCUUAUCCUUUGUUGCCAGCGGUCCGGCCGGGAACUCAAAGGAGACUGCCAGUGAUAAACUGGAGGAAGGUGGGGAUGACGUCAAGUCAUCAUGGCCCUUACGACCAGGGCUACACACGUGCUACAAUGGCGCAUACAAAGAGAAGCGACCUCGCGAGAGCAAGCGGACCUCAUAAAGUGCGUCGUAGUCCGGAUUGGAGUCUGCAACUCGACUCCAUGAAGUCGGAAUCGCUAGUAAUCGUGGAUCAGAAUGCCACGGUGAAUACGUUCCCGGGCCC